UUCGUUCUCCGCUCUUUCUAAUCUCUUUCAUUCACUGACAGAGUUUUUCAGAUCCAAUUUCCGUUUUGCCUCUCUGGCGUCUGGCGCUCCUCGCUGGAGCCGUGAGAGGGCUUAUCUUCUUUUUUUAUCUGCCUUGGCUUUUCAUCCAGGCGUUUGGCUUUUGUUUACAGCUGAUUGGUGGCGAUUGGUUUUUUUCUCCGAUGAGAUGGCAGCGAUUUGGCGGCACUUGAAGGUGGAUCCCUAUGCAGAUAUGGAUCUAUUGAGGAUAACAUCUGGUGAUGCUUCCUUAAGGGAUGACGUUGAAGGCUAUCAGCGGCUCCUCCUUCUGUUUCAGUCUCAGAUCCGCCAGCAUUUAAAGGAGAAGUUUCGAGCUGGAGUGGUGACACAAAGCGUUGUGGAUUGUCUAGUAAGCUCUCCGCUCUUGAGGACGGUGGCGAGUCUGAAAUGAAUCUCGGAUAAGGUGUUUUAGGUUGCGUGAACCACCAGCAUUUGUCGAGUAAGCUCGGUAGAGGAGACGAGUAUUGAAAGGCAUCUCGACGGCGGUGGCGGUUUAGUUGGCGACCAACGGCCCGGAUCUCGUUCAUGAAGACGGUGGCAGCGGCUUCCAAGUUCCGAGAUUGCAGAGUCAUAGUCCUGCAAUUAGGGUAUCAGGCGCUCCCGGUUUAGUAGCUGGUUUUGGGCAAUCGGUUUGUGAUCAAAUUCUAAACCGGGACCAUUAUGGGUAUAUUAGGAGUGGGCUUUGGUGUAUUUGUUUGUGUGUUUUUUUUCUCUGCAUUUUACAUUUCAUUUGUAAACUAAAACCCAAACAAAAUUUCAAUAUGAAGACGCUUUAA